AUGAAGUCGGAAUUGCUAGUAAUCGCGGAUCAGCAUGCCGCGGUGAAUACGUUCCCGGGCCUUGUACACACCGCCCGUCACACCAUGGGAGCCGGUAAUACCCGAAGUCAGUAGUCCAACCUCGUGAGGACGCUGCCGAAGGUAGGAUUGGCGACUGGGUGAAGUCGUAACAAGGUAGC
rnacentral:rRNA from 1 species